rnacentral:misc_RNA from 1 species
CUGUGUGUGUGGCGUUCCUUUUCGGAGCACCACAGGUGCUCGGUGCCUUUCCAUCGCAAACACUACAAUGGCGCAGUCGACAUGCGUUUUGAAAGCCUUCCACCCUCCGCCGCUCGCCAACGGCAACCAGCAGCCAUGAAGCAAAUCAUCGGCAACACCAGAUGCGGCGAUACCCUUUCGGUCCGCUUGCAUCGCGCCCUCGCUCUUCGGCAGCCCUCGCUCUUAGCGCAUUGCCGCUUAUCGCGCCGCAGAUAGCGAGCCACCGCCCCCAGGAAGGUCAGCGAAACGCCAGGUGAUAACGUAACGCCACACAGCUGCGACAUGGCCGACUUGAUAGGAAAGCCGCCCGGGUUUUGGAACCAUCCGGGAACACCAACAGUACCGUGGACGCGGUGGCUUGAAGAUUUUGAAACUUAUUUGCUUGCCGCUGGCGGCGAAAGUUUUUCCGCGGAACGCAAAGCCGCACUGCUGAAAACACUGCUUGGAGCCGAAGGUCAGAGGCAGGCACGGGUUGCACUCGCCGCGGCAUCGGAAACGCCGGGAUCAACCAAAGACGCCUACUCCUCAUUGGUGCAAACGCUAACGGCCAAGUUCAGCCCUCCAGAGGCAGUAGCCACAGCCAGACUCUCGUUUCGGAACCUCACGCAAGGCGAGUCUCCACCCCAGGAUUUUCUCUUCGAAUUGCAAGAUACAGCUAACCAGUGCGACUUCGGUGAACUGAAGGACCAGAUGCUGCUCGAACAAUUACUCAUUGGAUUGACCUCUACGCGACUACGGGAACGGUUGCUUGUCGAGGAGGCCACGCUUACGUUUGAGAAGGCCGUGAAGAUCAUCAACGAAGCCGACCGCGUCCAGCGUCGCCUCAAAGAAUAUGAGCCUGAAGUGCUUGUACAGCUAAACACAGCGCCACAUCAAAGUUCGGCGCAGCGCCGUCCUUUGCCGCGGGUUGUCACACCUUCUACCGAGCCUCGCCCUUGGCAACUCGCUGCACCUUCGUCGACGUGUCAGCAUUACAACCGGCCACCCAAGUCUGCAACUGGCUGCCCCAACUGUGGCUAUCAGCAUGCUCCUACUCAGAACUGCCCCGCGCGCGGCAAGGUUUGCUACCAGUGUUCCAAGAGGGGACAUUUUGCCACUGUGUGUCGCAGCAGACCCUUCGCGCGGUCGCCACCAGCAUGGCAUCAGCAAGCCUCCAGUCCCUCCAGGCCUAGGCGUUCGGAUCACGCCGAGUCUAUGGCCCUGUCAGACACCCAACCGGACCUCCGCACACCGGGAUUUUACGCCGAUGUUGAGGCGACAGCCUUCAAUGCUGCGGCACCAGCACACAGCCAAUUCCAGUGAAUCCCGAGUUUUCUGCGGGCGCACCGGCCUCGCCUCCCCGUGAGUUGCCACGAGUGCCAUCUAACACAUCGCAAAACAUCACAUCAGCUGAACGCAGGUACUCCACUGGCGAAAAGGAAGCUUUGGCUUGUUUAUGGGCUUGCGAAAAGUGGC